GCAAUUCCAGGAGCAGAUGCAGCCCUAUAACAUAUGUUUAAAAUUUUUCUAUGUUCUACCAAAUAUCCAACGCGAAACUGAAAAAGUGAAUUCGAAACUGAUACCUAAUAUCUGGAUCUUAAAUGGAUCUAGAUAAAAUCCCAGACACAUCUAACUGAAUUUUACAAUUAAUGGCUUAUUGUUAGAGGUCCUCAAACAUAUUCCAGAAGUCGGAAGGAUGCAAUACAGCAGAGGAAGAAGAUGAGGACCCUGGUGAUUUGAGUACACAAGGUUGGCGAUGAGAUGCUGAUAUUUGAUUGCUCUUCACAAAAAAGGGAGAGAUAUGGACAUCCAAGCAAAAGCUGGGAAGAUUAGCACCAGCAAGGAAAGGGGAGAAAAGAUAUUUGGCAGAGGUCUGAGGAGCAUAGAAGUGACACAAAGGAGGGACACUGAAGAAAUUUUAGGCCACUUUCCUGAGACGUGCCUGACCAUGAGUCAGUCAGCAGGUGGCCUUAAGCAACAGGAAGAGGACUGCCUGAAUCCACUGUGCUCAAGUUCUAAGUCCCCACAGGUAUGAGAGAUGAGAGGAAACAAAGAAACACUCAGGGGACCCACAUUCUUUUUUUUUAAAGAUUUUAUUUAUUUAUUUGACAGAGAGAGAGAGGAGAAGGAGAGGAAGAAGCAGACUCCCCACUGAGCAGGGAGCCCAACAGGGGACUCUAUCAUGGGACUGAGGUCAUGGGAUCAUGACGCUCAUCCGACUGAGCCACCCGCGUGCCCUAGGAGUCCACAUUCUAUCUGGUGGAAGCUUUUGCUUCCAAUACCCAGGCAAAUCAGAAGCUCCCAUGUGGCACUCAAGCAUCAAUUUCUUUUAAAGCUCUCCAGGGGAUUCCAAUGUGCAAUCACGGUGGAGAAUUGCUGCACCAAAGAACAGGAAUAUGUGCAAGGCAAACUGGACUUAAAACUGCAGCUUUAGCCCAAAACAAAAUAUGUCGAAGAUGACAUCUCAAAAUGCCUGGACAUUGCUAUUACAAUGUUCUUUGUAUUUUAAUUUUAACUCAGUGUCUCAUUUCUCUUUCUAUAGAGCAUAAGUUUAUUCAUAUUUAUUUUAGCAUUUUAACUGUGUUGUUUUUAAAGGCAAGCAAAUACUGCCUUAGGAAGUCUGGUCUCAGUGCAAUCACUUCCUGGAGAAACCGUUAGUCAAGAGAUUGGGGCUCUCUAAUGAGUCAAGAAUGCCAUCUAGUGGUGACUACCUCUGAAUUCCAAAUACAAAUCUCAACUUUUAACAAAGCUCUUGAGCAAGUGACUGUCAAUUCCAACAAUUUAUCUGCCUGAAAUAAAAUACGACUGUUGGUAAAAAGUAGCUUUGCC
rnacentral:lncRNA from 12 species